GUGAUCAACCCUUGGGAUAAGUUUAAAUCUGCUUUUUUUUACUCCAUAAACUUUUUACCGUGGGUAAAAAGAUUCUUGUUGGGGUAUAAAAAAAACCAGAUUUAAAUUUAACCCAAGGGUUGGUGAUGUAUU
rnacentral:pre_miRNA from 1 species